UUGGAGGGCAAGUCUGGUGCCAGCAGCCGCGGUAAUUCCAGCUCCAAUAGCGUACAUUAAAGUUGUUGCAGUUAAAAAGCUCGUAGUUGAAUUUCGGGGUCAGUAGGUUGGUCAUGCCACCGGUAUGUACUGGUCUCACUGAUUCCUCCUUCCUGAUGAACUGUAAUGCCAUUAAUUUGGUGUUGCAGGGAAUCUGGACUGUUACUUUGAAAAAUAGGAGUGUUUAAAGCAGGCUAACGCCUGAAUACAUUAGCAUGGAAUAAUGAAAUAGGACGUUCGAUCCUAUUUUGUUGGUUUCUAGGAUUGACGUAAUGAUUAAUAGGGAUAGUUGGGGGCAUUAGUAUUCAAUUGUCAGAGGUGAAAUUCUUGGAUUUAUUGAAGACUAACUACUGCGAAAGCAUUUGCCAAGGAUGUUUUCAUUAAUCAAGAACGAAAGUUAGGGGAUCGAAGACGGUCAGAUACCGUCGUAGUCUUAACCAUGAACUAUGCCGACUAGGGAUCGGAUGAUGUUAAUUUUUUAAUGACUCAUUCGGCGCCUUACGGGAAACCAAAGUGUUUGGGUUC
rnacentral:rRNA from 1 species